GUUUUUUACUAUGACUUUUUCAGAUCGAAUUAGUAAAAAGAUAAAUAAAAAGAAAUAGUUUUCAAAUCUGUUAGGAAAAAAACCGAUUUCCCUCUCAGGUCACGGCAUAACCGGAUGGAAGAAAUAACAAUAAAGAAACCAACAAGCCCAAAAUAAUAAUGAGUAAAUACAUGAGAGAACACACCAAGUUCGACAGAUAACCUGCCUACAUCCACAGACAGUAUUGUCAAUUCUUCACUAUGAGAAUAAUAACCGUACAAAAUACAUAUUGAGUUAAAUACACAUAACCCAAUAUAACACUCAAAAGUUUUAUACCCAAACCCGAGUCCCUUGUACACCCACUCACAGUAUUUCCCAAAACUCACUGUCACUUCCAAGAGAUAUACCCUCUCUUGAACCCUUGAUGAACCCAGCUAACUCCCAGCUGAAACAUCCUCCUGGAGUUGGACUGCUUGCUUGCAUCUCACAAGCAACCCACUCUCCUUCUCUGUCGUGCUCUCUCUCUCUCUGCCUUCUCCUUUGGUGUGGCUGAAGCACACCAGCCCACAACCCUCUCAUGCUUUUGCUGCGACACAAGCACACACUCCCACUUGCAUGCACCCUCCCCUUUUAUAAAC
rnacentral:lncRNA from 1 species